AUACACUUUGGCAGGAUAUACACUAAAAUUGGAACAAUACAGAGAUUAGCAUGGACCGUGGGCAAGGAUGACACACAAAUUCCUUAAGUGUUCCUUUUUUUA